rnacentral:rRNA from 1 species
UACGUAGGGGGGCAAGCGUUUGUCCGGAUUUAUUGGGCGUAAAGAGCGUGUAGGCGGCUAGGUAGGUCCGUUGUGAAAACUCGAGGCUCAACCUCGAGACGCCGAUGGAAACCAUCUGGCUAGAGUCCGGAAGAGGAGAGUGGAAUUCCGGGUGUAGCGGUGGAAUGCGUAGAGAUCCGGAAGAACACCGGUGGCGAAGGCGGCCUGCUGGGCUAUGGCUGACACUGAGGCGCGACAGCGUGGGGGAGCAAACAGG